rnacentral:rRNA from 1 species
CAAUAGCGUAUAUUUAAGAUGCUGCAGUUAAAAAGCUCGUAGUUGGAUUUCGGGUGGGAAUGGCCGGUCCGCCGUUUCGGUGUGCACUUGCUACGCCCACCUUGCUGCCGGGGACGUGCUCUUGAGUUCACGCUCGGGACACGGAGUCGGCGAGGUUACUUUGAGUAAAUUAGAGUGUUCAAAGCAGGCCUACGCUCUGAAUACAUUAGCAUGGAAUAACACGAUAGGACUCUGGCCUAUCUUGUUGGUCUGUAGGACCGGAGUAAUGAUUAAGAGGGACAGUCGGGGGCAUUCGUAUUUCAUUGUCAGAGGUGAAAUUCUUGGAUUUAUGAAAGACGAACUACUGCGAAAGCAUUUGCCAAGGAUGUUUUCAUUAA